rnacentral:rRNA from 1 species
AGAGUUUGAUCCUGGCUCAGGAUGAACGCUGGCGGCAUGCCUAAUACAUGCAAGUCGUGCGAACCAGCCCGCGGAUUGUUUAGUGCUUGCAUUAAACAAGAAGUGGAAAUCUGGUUAGCGGCGAACGGGUGAGUAAUACGUAGGUAACCUGCCCCAGAGACUGGGAUAACAGUUGGAAACGACUGCUAAUACCGGAUAAAAGUUAGAACGCAUGUUCUAGUUAUGAAAGGCGCCCUUAAAGCGCCACUCUGGGAUGGGCCUUCGGCACAUUAGCUAGUUGGUGGGGUAACGGCUUACCAAGGCAAUGAUGCGUAGCCGGCCUGAGAGGGUGUACGGCCACACUGGGACUGAGACACGGCCCAGACUCCUACGGGAGGCAGCAGUAGGGAAUUUUUCACAAUGGGCGAAAGCCUGAUGGAGCGAUGCCGCGUGCAGGAUGAAGGUCUUCGGAUCGUAAACUGCUGUUAUAAGGGAAGAACGAUCAGGGGAGGAAAUGACCCUGAAGUGACGGUACCUUAUCAGAAAGCCCCGGCUAACUACGUGCCAGCAGCCGCGGUGAAACGUAGGGGGCGAGCGUUAUCCGGAAUUAUUGGGCGUAAAGGGUGCGUAGGCGGUCUAUUAAGUCCGAUGUGAAAGACCACAGCUUAACUGUGGAGGCGCAUUGGAAACUGGUGGACUUGAGUAUGGUAGAGGUAAGCGGAAUUUCCAGUGUAGCGGUGAAAUGCGUAGAUAUUGGAAGGAACACCAGUGGCGAAGGCGGCUUACUGGGCCAUUACUGACGCUGAGGCACGAAAGCGUGGGGAGCAAAUAGGAUUAGAUACCCUAGUAGUCCACGCCGUAAACGAUGAGUGCUAAGUGUCGGGGUAACUCGGUGCUGAAGUUAACAUAUUAAGCACUCCGCCUGGGUAGUACGGCCGCAAGGCUGAAACUCAAAGGAAUUGACGGGUCCCCGCACAAGCGGUGGAGCAUGUUCUUUAAUUCGAUGCAACGCGAAGAACCUUACCUGGGCUUGACAUCCCGCUGACCGCUCUAGAGAUAGAGUUUUCCCUUCGGGGACAGCGGUGACAGGUGGUGCAUGGUUGUCGUCAGCUCGUGUCGUGAGAUGUUGGGUUAAGUCCCGCAACGAGCGCAACCCUCGUCCUUAGUUACUAACAUUAAGUUGAGGACUCUAAGGAGACUGCCGGUGAUAAACCGGAGGAAGGUGAGGAUGACGUCAAAUCCUCAUGCCCCUUAUGUCCAGGGCUAGAAACGUGCUACAAUGGUCGGUACAACGGGAUGCGAUGUCGCGAGAUUGAGCAAAUCCCUAAAAACCGAUCUCAGUUCGGAUUGGAGUCUGCAACUCGACUCCAUGAAGCCGGAAUCGCUAGUAAUCGCGAAUCAGGAUGUCGCGGUGAAUACGUUCUCGGGGAUUGUACACACCGCCCGUCACGCCACGAGAGUCUGUUAUACUCGAAGUCAGUCUCCUAACCGUAAGGAGGGAGCUGCCCAAGGUAGAACAGAUGAUUGGGGUGAAGUCGUAACAAGGUAACC